rnacentral:rRNA from 1 species
GACGAACGCUGGCGGCGUGCCUAAUACAUGCAAGUUGAGCGCUGAAGGUUGGUACUUGUACCGACUGGAUGAGCAGCGAACGGGUGAGUAACGCGUGGGGAAUCUGCCUUUGAGCGGGGGACAACAUUUGGAAACGAAUGCUAAUACCGCAUAAAAACUUUAAACACAAGUUUUAAGUUUGAAAGAUGCAAUUGCAUCACUCAAAGAUGAUCCCGCGUUGUAUUAGCUAGUUGGUGAGGUAAAGGCUCACCAAGGCGAUGAUACAUAGCCGACCUGAGAGGGUGAUCGGCCACAUUGGGACUGAGACACGGCCCAAACUCCUACGGGAGGCAGCAGUAGGGAAUCUUCGGCAAUGGACGAAAGUCUGACCGAGCAACGCCGCGUGAGUGAAGAAGGGUUUCGGAUCGUAAAACUCUGUUGGUAGAGAAGAACGUUGGUGAGAGUGGAAAGCUCACCAAGUGACGGUAACUACCCAGAAAGGGACGGCUAACUACGUG